rnacentral:rRNA from 1 species
UACGUAGGGGGCAAGCGUUGUUCGGAAUCAUUGGGCGUAAAGAGCGUGUAGGCGGCCCGGUAAGUCCGUUGUGAAAGUCCAGGGCUCAACCCUGGAAAGCCGAUGGAUACUGCCGGGCUAGAGUUCGGAAGAGGCGAGUGGAAUUCCUGGUGUAGCGGUGGAAUGCGCAGAUAUCAGGAGGAACACCUAUAGCGAAGGCAGCUCGCUGGGACGACACUGACGCUGAGACGCGAAAGCGUGGGGAGCGAACAGG